rnacentral:lncRNA from 1 species
AGCAAUCCAAUACAUAAAGCAACUUAUUUCUCUUUCCAACUUCCCAAAUUGAAUGCUACAUUGUAUGGAUUUCAGAGGUAUGUACCUGGAAUGUAAAGAUAAAUAGAUGUGAGCAGUCAACAGCAGGAAUCAGUAGAGAAACAGCCAAGAUGAACCCAGAUUCAGCAAUUUAGAACAAGGAACUCAGCUCAAGACCCAUAAUUGAAAUAUGCAACCAACUUGAACCCCAAAAACCUCCAGAAAACCCAACAUCAAUGCAUACCAAGUCUCAAAUGAACCAGAAAAUAUUUCAGAACUUGAAAAUCUCAGUAAUCAGUAAAAAGAUCAAUGAAACAGUAGAAAUUUUGUCGUCUGAAGUUUUUUGGAUCUUU